GAUGAACGCUAGCGGCAGGCUUAAUACAUGCAAGGCGGGGGGGCAGCAAUGUCACCGUCGUACGGGUGCGUAACGCGUAUGCAACCUACCUUCAACUGGGGGAUAGCCCGGGGAAACCCGGAUUAAUACCGCAUAACACAAUGAGGUCUCAUGGUUUUAUUGUUAAAGAUUUGUUGGUUGAAGAUGGGCAUACGUUCGAU
rnacentral:rRNA from 1 species